rnacentral:lncRNA from 1 species
GGCAAACCGUUUCGGCAGAUGAGGACAUGUCUGAUAUGAACUGUCAGUUUUGAAUAAAUCAAAGUUAUGAAAUGAGGAGGAAAGGGAACACAUUAGUAAGCUGUUUUGGAGAAAAUAAGAUUAUCUUCAUCCUUUUCAAAUGGCAUCUUUAGCUUUCUUGGAGACAGUGGGGUUGAAGGUCACGACAGAAGACAGCGGAGAAAUGUGGACGGAAAUGGUGACUACAGUGGACCUCCUCACCAAUACCAGUGAUGUUUGUUGUGGCAGCUGAAAUACUGGGAUGUGAAAUGUUCCAUGGUGAUUCCUGCAAACUACAUCAUAAAUGUCAUGUUCCAACAAAAACACGGUCCAUCCACCUCUGGUCUUUGUGGAAGAGGUUCGUGACAAAGCUGAAAGUAUAUACCUAUCUCCCAUUUAAAUGAUGGGGAGAAAGAAAGACUUAUAGUCUUGGGAAAAGG